rnacentral:rRNA from 1 species
AGUGAACGCUGGCGGUAGGCCUAACACAUGCAAGUCGAACGGCAGCACAGUAAGAGUUUGUCUCUACGGGUGGCGAGUGGCGGGCGGGUGAGACAUACAUCAAACUCCACUUUUUCGGGGGGGAUCACGGAGAAACAUACACGAUAACAGCGCAUAAGCUCUACGGGUGAAAGCAGGAGAGCAAGACACCUUGCGCGAUUGUAUGAGCAGGUGUCGGAUUAGCUAGUUGGGGGGGUAAAGGCACACCAAGGCGACGAUCCGUAGCUGGUCUGAGAGGAUGAUCAGCCACACUGGAACUGAGACACGGUCCAGACUCCUACGGGAGGCAGCAGUGGGGAAUAUUGGACAAUGGGCGCAAGCCUGAUCCAGCCAUACCGCGUGGGUGAAGAAGGCCUUCGGGUUGUAAAGCCCUUUUGUUGGGAAAGAAAAGCAGCAGGUUAAUACCCCGCGAGGCUGACGGUACCCAAAGAAUAAGCACCGGCUAACUUCGUG